CCCUUAGAUGUUCUGGGCUGCACACGUGCUACACUGGCAGGUUCAGCGAGCUUCAUGCCCUGAUCUGAAAGGAAUGGGAAAUCUUUUCAAAACCUGCCGUGCUUGGGAUAGAUGUUUGCAAUUAUUCAUCUUCAACGAGGAUUGCCUUGUAAGCUCACGUCAUCAGCGUGCAUUGAAUACGACCCUGUAUUCUGUACACACCGCCCGUCGCUCCUACCGAUUGAAGUUUUCGGUGAGUUGACAGGAGGAUUUUUUUGAAACUGGUUCGCCAGUGGAUUUUAGAUCCAAAUGCCAACGAAUCGAUGGCUUUAGAGGAAGGAGAAGUCGUAACA
rnacentral:rRNA from 1 species